GGGAAGGUGGCUCAGUGGUAGAGUGCUUGCCUUGCAUGCAAGGCAAGGCAUGAGGCCCUGGGUUCUAUUCCU
rnacentral:tRNA from 1 species